CUCGGGGUAGCUCAGUUGGUAGAGCGGUAGACUGUAGUUGAAAGCUGAUAUCUAUAGGUCGCUGGUUCAAAUCCGGCUCUCGAGA
rfam:Microsporidia sp. TGP3 contig-60, whole genome shotgun sequence.